UUUUUAGUAUAAGUAUAUCCCAUGCACUAUUUGGGAUAUACUUAUACUUAAG
rfam:Pongo abelii chromosome 10.